rnacentral:rRNA from 1 species
AUUGAACGCUGGCGGCGUGCUUAACACAUGCAAGUCGUGCGGGUAACAGGGCGUAGCAAUACGUGCUGACGAGCGGCGAACGGGUGCGUAAUACAUGGGAAUCUGCCCUUUAGUGGGGAAUAACCCGGCGAAAGCCGGGCUAAUGCCGCAUAAGAUCUUCGGGAUGAAAGGCGGGGGAUCGUAAGACCUCGCGCUGAUGGAUGAGCCCAUGCCGGAUUAGCAGUUGGUGAGGUAACGGCUCACCAAGGCGACGAACCGUAGCUGGUCUGAGAGGACGGCCAGCCACACUGGGACUGAGACACGGCCCAGACUCCUACGGGAGGCAGCAGGUGGGAAUAUUGGACAAGUGGGGAAACCCUGAUCCAGCGACGCCGCGUGUGUGAAGAAGG